UGUUCUCACUCCCUCCUGCUGCAGCACAAGCCACAGUAAAGCCUUGUCUGAGUUCCUCGUCUGGCCGCUUAUCAAUUUCUAUCGAUUAAAGAGUCCAAGGACCCGGGUCAGUUUUCUACUUUGUGAUUACUCUGGCGGGAAGUCCUUGGGGCCUUUUACAGCCCCCGCCCCAGGAGAGGAUGUAGGCCCCUCCGGGACCACCAGACGCAGCUUCCCUGCGGGUGAUGAGCGGCGGCCUAGACCUCUUGCUUCGGCUUCUCCGCGUUUGGCAAAACAUGAGCUUCUGAGAGUUCCUGGCCACCCACCACCUCACAGAAGUCUCAACUCUGCCGUUUUCAUCCCGACAGCCGACCCAGCUGGGGACGUGAUCAAAUCUGAACUCGGAACAGCAUCGUCUGUUUCUGAGGCUGCCAGCAAAUCAUCUACACAACUACACAACACAUCUACAUCUACAGCAAAUCAUCACGCCACAACUACUGAGCCUGCGCUCUAGAGCCCCCGAGCCACAACCACUGAGCCCACGUGCUGCAACUGCUGGGCCUGCAUGCCUAGAGCCCAUGCUCUGCAACAAGAGAAACCACCACCAUGAGAGGCCCGUGCACCGCAACAAAGACUAGCCCCUGCUAAAUAAAUAAAAUUUUAAAAUAAAA